AUUGAACGCUGGCGGCAGGCCUAACACAUGCAAGUCGAGCGGAUGAGUGGAGCUUGCUCCAUGAUUCAGCGGCGGACGGGUGAGUAAUGCCUAGGAAUCUGCCUGGUAGUGGGGGACAACGUUUCGAAAGGAACGCUAAUACCGCAUACGUCCUACGGGAGAAAGCAGGGGACCUUCGGGCCUUGCGCUAUCAGAUGAGCCUAGCUCGGAUUAGCUAGUAGGUGAGGUAAGGGCACACCUAGGCGACGAUCCGUAACUGGUCUGAGAGGAUGAUAAAUAAAACUGAAACGGAGACACGGUCCAGACUCCUACGGGAGGCAGCAGUGGGAAAUAUUGGACAAUGGGCGAAGGCCUGAUCCAGCCAUGCCGCGGGUGUGAAGAAGGUCUUCGGAUUGAAAAGCACUUUAAGUUGGGAGGAAGGGCAGUAAGUUAAUACCUUGCUGUUUUGACGUUACCAACAGAAUAAGCACCGGCUAACUUCGUGCCAGCAGCAGCCGCCG
rnacentral:rRNA from 1 species